CACAGUUAUUAAAAUAAUUAAUGUAAUUGUUGAACAAUGUAAAAGUUGUUAAGGAACUUUGUUUUUUUAACUUUAUAAGAUCGUAGAACCACUUGUCCCUGUUUUUAAUUAAAGACUCCUGGAGGGUUUAUGGAGUCGUUUUUCUCAUCAACAGCUUCACUUGAGGACUAGUAUCAAACACCUUGCCUGCAUUGCAUUCACAGCACAAGUUUGACAUCAAAUUCGACUAAGUUUAGAGCCCCAACCAAUACGAUUUUGACGUCAAAUCCCGUACCCAGUAUACAGUGGGAGCUUUAGUGUAUCGGGCUGCACGCAACAUGGACCUUAAACCUUUCAAAUUAGACAUUGACGAGCUUAUAAACGACUUUGCGAAGGGUGGAUCACCUACUUUUGCAGAAAUGAAGAGAGUGUGGGUUUCGAAAAAGUUUUCGUAUAUUUUCGAGGCGAGUCCAUCGUCUAAAGAUCAGGCCUGGUUUAUACAAUCACUGUAUGCCUACUGCAUUGGUUACAUGGUGUCUACUAAUUCUCUUUUGAGUAGAAUGGGUGGCCUGUAUUGCUUAUAUUGCCUUUAUGAAACACAACCAUUCAAGCCUCCUUUCAAGAUUUAUCUAUCCCUAAGAGAGUUAAAGGACGUUAGGAACAUUGUUUCGGAGGCAAAGGCGAAGGAUGCUAAAGUAGUCCCUGCUGUGGUGAAGCAUAUGUUAGAUAAGAAGAUGUUUGUUUUUGGUUUAGUGGAUGUGAAUGAGAGCUCUGCAGCAGAGAGAUUAGACGAACUGAGAGGAGUACAAAAUGCGAGUAUACAAAUAGCGUGCGAAAAGUUAUUUGCAAAUACACGGAUUGAGCACUUCACUAACAUGGACAUGGGAUCGGAGCUUGAGGUGGAUUUGCUCAAGCAGAAGUCGACAGAAUAUGCAAGGGCGAAAGAGCUAGCUCUUAAAGGAGCUAGUGACACGGUGGAUAUCGAAAGCAUAAAGCACAUAACAGAGAACCGGACAUUGAUAGGAGACCUGGUUGGGAAGACAGCUGAUGACUGGAAAGCUCAAAAGGAAUUGUUUUAUCAAAAAACAGGCAUUCGUCAUCAGCCUGUCGUAGUCUCACAUGAUGCGCGAGAGGAGCAGGAAAAGUUCUCCCAACAAGAAGAGGCUGACGAGCAGGAUGACAAUGAAGACUUCAGCAAGGAACUUGAGCAAGUGUUGUUAUCUGCACAGAACGACUCUGAUAUCGAAGAAUAGGGGAGAAGUUGGAUAAAACUAUUUUGUACUUCAGAAAAUGGCGCAGUCUUGGAAUGUUUAGCUAACAAGCAAAUGCAUUGGAGUUUCCUCGAGAAUUUUUGGGGAUUUCACUUCAAGAACAACCCAACAAGCAUUACAUGGUAAUUAGAGGGCAACGGUUGUUCGUGGAAGCAGAGUCAUCAAUUCAGGUGAUAAUGGAGA